UACGUAGGUGGCAAGCGUUGUCCGGAAUUACUGGGUGUAAAGGGAGCGUAGGCGGGAAUGCAAGUUGGAUGUGAAAUACUCGGGCUCAACCCGGGGGCUGCAUCCAAAACUGUAUUUCUUGAGUGAAGUAGAGGCAGGCGGAAUUCCUAGUGUAGCGGUGAAAUGCGUAGAUAUUAGGAGGAACACCAGUGGCGAAGGCGGCCUGCUGGGCUUUAACUGACGCUGAGGCUCGAAAGCGUGGGGGAGCGAACAGG
rnacentral:rRNA from 1 species